rnacentral:lncRNA from 1 species
CCACCAAAAAUAAUUAUAUAGUUAUCCUUGGGCGAUCUUGGAUCUUAAUUAGUACACUCAUGUUAUCUGUGGAAAAUCGAUACUCUGGAAUACUCUCGGGUGAAAGCUACAUCGGUAUCCGUGCGCUUGCGGAUUUUUCUGUUUGCGUUUAAAAUACCCAACAAGCUUUCUGGCGCCGUUGCCGGGGAAUGGUAGCUGUGCUAGUUUCGAACCAAGUCAUCCGUGUAUCCUUUUUAUUUUUUUUUACCACACUCACCUUAUCAUUUUCACCAUACCACAUGGAUUUCACUCUAAGCAUUAAUGAGCAUGGAAUUUAUUUCAUAGCCACUUCAUUUACUCCAUGCUCUUAUGCAACAUCUUCACAAUCCAUUGGUCUCUCCAACAUCACCACAUUCGAGAUCUCCAACCCCCUCUUCCUUUCUAUUCAUAAAAACUUUAAAAGAGCGGUUGUCGAUGCAUAUGUCUAUAUUAAAUAUUGUAGAUCUCGUUGAGUUGAUCUUGAUAUAGGUCAGCGUUGGAGGGGAAACCACUUUGCCGAUAUAAAUUGAUGGUUUCUCAAGGACAAGCUUAGUGUCCUAAAACAAGCACUGAUCAGAUCGUAACAUGAGCUUUUAAUUAUUUGCAACACUGCCUUGUGUAUCGAGCAUAUAAGGACAAUUGUAAAAAUAUCCCUUCGGGUAUUCUUGUCACUAACCUUUCUAGGAUUGGAGCAAGAAGAUCGGAUGAAUGACAAGCACAAGGAAAACUUUCAAUAUCGACCUGGGAAGUCCUG